rnacentral:tRNA from 1 species
GGAGAGGUGGCUGAGUGGUUGAAGGCAAUGGUUUGCUAAAUCAUAGCAUAGUUUAUGCCAUGGGUUCGAAUCCCAUUCUCUCCA